CAUUUGGGGUCACUGUGUCUUCAUCACAGAUGCUCAGCUCUAACACGUUCUAGGAGAAAAGGAAGGGUGCAAGCCUGGUUACUGUGUUCGCAGGGACUCGUUCCCUAGCAAGGAGCCAGGGCAGGACGCCAUCCAGGCCCCGUGCAUAGAGAAGAAAGGAAGACAGGAUACUCACCCAUGUCAGCCUGUCGGACAUUUUUCAUCCGGAUGAUCUUCACUGUCAGCAGGUGGCAUGGAGAGACCCCAACCUGUGGGUUGAGAGGACAGUGGACUCACUCUUCAGGUGAUGACAACUGACAGAGAAAGCAGCUCAAGCUGGACACAGGCUCCCACUGCUUAGACCCAAGAUGACUCCUCCCAGUCAAUCCACAUUUCUGGGCUCUGAAGGACACUGCUGGUCCCCAGAGCUCCUGAGGAUCUGCCAAGGUCUCUUGUUGGCCUUUGACUCUGCAAGUCAACCCUAUACUACAUCUACCUCCCACUCCCAUACCUAUUGCCUGUGUGACACCCCAGCACAGCUUAACAAGGGCUAUGAAUUCGAAGCCGCUGAUGGACGGAGCUAGGAGCCACCCCCUCCUUGGUAUAUCCAUGGCAUUUGGGCCUCAGACACUGCUGAAUGGAGCUGGGUAGUACCCUUCCUUAGGAAC